rnacentral:misc_RNA from 1 species
GAUGAAGAACGCAGCGAAAUGCGAUAAGUAGUGUGAAUUGCAGAAUUCAGUGAAUCAUCGAAUCUUUGAACGCACAUUGCGCCCUUUGGUAUUCCUUAGGGCAUGCCUGUUCGAGCGUCAUUUAAACCUUCAAGCUAAGCUUGGUGUUGGGUGACUGUCCGCUUCACGGCGGACUCGCCUCAAAAUUAUUGGCGGCUGGUACAUUGGCUUCGAGCGCAGCAGAAACGCGAACUCGGGCCCGUCGUAUUGGCUCCCAGAAGCUAUCCUCACAAUUUUGACCUCGGAUCAGGUAGGGAUACCCGCUGAACUUAAGCAUAUCAAUAAGCGGAGGA